GCUCGCGUAGCUCAGCUGGAUAGAGUGCUUCCCUCCGAAGGAAGAGGUCGCAGGUUCGAACCCCGCCGCGAGUACCA
rnacentral:tRNA from 4 species